GACGAACGCUGGCGGCGUGCUUAACACAUGCAAGUCGAACGCUGAAGCUCAGCUUUUGUUGGGUGGAUGAGUGGCGAACGGGUGAGUAACACGUGAGUAACCUGCCCCCUUCUUUGGGAUAACGCCCGGAAACGGGUGCUAAUACUGGAUAUUCACUGGUCUUCGCAUGGGGGUUGGUGGAAAGGGUUUUUCUGGUGGGGGAUGGGCUCGCGGCCUAUCAGCUUGUUGGUGGGGUGAUGGCCUACCAAGGCUUUGACGGGUAGCCGGCCUGAGAGGGUGACCGGUCACAUUGGGACUGAGAUACGGCCCAGACUCCUACGGGGGGCAGCAGUGGGGAAAAUUGCACAAUGGGCGCAAGCCUGAUGCAGCGACGCCGCGUGAGGGAUGGAGGCCUUUGGGUUGUGAACCUCUUUCGCUCAUGGUCAAGCCGCAACAAUGGUUGUGGUGAGGGUAGUGGGUAAAGAAGCGCCGGCUAACUACGUG
rnacentral:rRNA from 1 species